CCAAGCCCUAGUCCCAUUCCAGCUCCUCCAUGCUUCUUCGGUUUCUGCGGUUGACCACCGUAACCUUGCUGUUGCGGGUAACCGUACGGACCCUGUGGCGGAUACCCAUAACCUGGACCCUGUGGUGGAUACCCAUAGCCUGGACCCUGUGGUGGAUAACCCGGGUAGCCUUGUUGAGGUGGAUAUCCACCUUGUUGCGGGUAUGCACCGGGAGGCGGAUACCCACCCGGCCCAGCUGGAGGAUAACCACCGGGACCACCAGGUGGCGGAUAUCCACCGGCCUGAGGGUAACCGUAAACACCGCCGUGUUUAUCAUCAUGGCCUGGAGGAGGCGGGUAUGCACCCGGGGCGCCUUGUCCGGGCGGGUAAGCUGCGACGGGCUGAUCCGUAGACUUGUGGUCAACACUC
rnacentral:lncRNA from 1 species